rnacentral:rRNA from 1 species
CACUGGUGGCGACCGGCGCACGGGUGAGUAACACGUGUGCAACCAACCCGUACCGGGAGAUAACCCGCGGAAACGUGGACUAACAUCCCAUGAGACUCUAGAUCCGCAUGGCUCUAGAUUUAAAAUUCCGGUGGUACGGGACGGGCACGCGCGACAUUAGGUAGUUGGCGGGGUAAGGGCCCACCAAGCCGACGAUGUCUAGGGGUUCUGAGAGGAAGGUCCCCCACACUGGAACUGAGACACGGUCCAG